rnacentral:tRNA from 1 species
GCCUGGGUGGCUCAGUCGGUUGAGCGUCUGACUUCGGCUCAGGUCAUGAUCUCGCAGUCUGUGAGUUCGAGCCCCGCGUCGGGUU